GAUGAACGCUGGCGGUAUGCUUAACACAUGCAAGUCGAACGGUACCUUCGGGUAUAGUGGCGGACGGGUGAGUAACGCGUGAGAACCUAUCUUCAGGUCGGGGACAACAGUUAGAAAUGACUGCUAAUACCGGAUGUGCCGAAAGGUAAAAGAUUUAUUGCCUGAAAAAGAGCUCGCGUCAGAUUAGCUAGUAGGUGGUGUAAGAGACUACCUAGGCUUCGAUCUGUAGCUGGUCUGAGAGGACGAUCAGCCACACUGGAACUGAGACACGGUCCAGACUCCUACGGGAGGCAGCAGUGGGGAAUUUUCCGCAAUGGGCGAAAGCCUGACGGAGCAAUACCGCGUGAGGGACGAAGGCUCUUGGGUCGUAAACCUCUUUUCUCAAGGAAGAUUCAGACGGUACUUGAGGAAUAAGCAUCGGCUAACUCUGUG
rnacentral:rRNA from 1 species